CAGAAUAUUCCUCGAAUUUGCUCCAUGACAUCUUGCUUGCCAUGUGGUCACCCUACCUCAAAAUUGAUAUAUUAAUCAAUGAACUACUGUUUAGGCAAGGGAUUAUAGUCCCAGUAAACUAUAAAACCAAAUAAUUGUUCCAAAAUUUCGAAUUUGCCUUUGCACAUGUAGAAGCGCAUCAUAGAUUGUUUAGACUUGGUGUUAACAAAAAAAUGAUAGUAGUAUGGUCAGACCUAUUUUCCCCACCUGCUUACUCAUUUGAGUACAUUUGAUUGCACUUUUGGGACAUUAUUACCAUUUUUACUUUUUACUUUGUUCAUACACCGAUUGUUAUUUGGUUUAGAGGUAUGCUACUCCAAACAUAUGUUCAUUUUGGGUUUAGAUUUUGUAGAUUGAACUAAUGCGAUACGAAAAUUAUCAGUCACCCCAAAGGUUCUUCCUUGUUGGUUUUGGGAUUAGUAUUUUGAUCUCUGUUUGAAAAAGGACAAACAAGAACAUACUCACUAACACCCUCGGGUUCCUCCCUGUUGGUUUCAACAUCAGUAUUUUGACCUCUGUUUGAAAACUAUUAGAAAAUGACAGAUAAGAACACACUCAUUGACACCCUCUAAUAUCUUUUUAAUUAUGAACUCAGUUAGCUGAACUUUAUCGCAUAGAUUUCUAAUGGUUUAAUACUUUUUUCGUAAUUUGAGUUGACUAGCUCUAUGAAUAUAGAACAGAAAUAAUUGUCUCGUAUUCACUUAAGGUUCAUAUACUUUGUGAUUUUUAGCUAGAACCA
rnacentral:rRNA from 1 species